rnacentral:tRNA from 1 species
GACCCUAUAACUCAGUCGGUUAGAGUGUGGAGCUAAUAACUCCAAAGUCGCCAGUUCGAGCCUGGUUAGGGUCA